UAUUUUAGUAACCAAUCGUGUAG
rnacentral:snRNA from 1 species